CUGAAUUGUCAACACGAGUUGUUGCUGGUCCUCAAAUGGGGGGCAUGUGCACGCUCUGUUUACACAUCCACUCACACCUGUGCACCCUCCGUAGUUCUGCAGCCUGGGGGCUCUGUCCCCCCUGCUGCGGUUCUAUGUAUUUACACACACACACUGUAAUAAAGUCUCAUGGAAUGUAUGCCGCGUUUAACGCAAUACAAUA
rnacentral:misc_RNA from 1 species